AUUGAACGCUGGCGGCAUGCCUUACACAUGCAAGUCGAACGGCAGCGGGCCUUCGGGUGCCGGCGAGUGGCGAACGGGUGAGUAAUGCAUCGGAACGUGCCAUUGAGUGGGGGGAUAACGUAGCGAAAGUUACGCUAAUACCGCAUAUUCUGUGAGCAGGAAAGCAGGGGACCGCAAGGCCUUGCGCUCUUUGAGCGGCCGAUGUCAGAUUAGCUAGUUGGUGAGGUAAAGGCUUACCAAGGCGACGAUCUGUAGCGGGUCUGAGAGGAUGAUCCGCCACACUGGAACUGAGACACGGUCCAGACUCCUACGGGAGGCAGCAGUGGGGAAUUUUGGACAAUGGGCGCAAGCCUGAUCCAGCCAUGCCGCGUGAGUGAAGAAGGCCUCGGGUUGU
rnacentral:rRNA from 1 species